rnacentral:rRNA from 1 species
AUUGAACGCUGGCGGCAGGCUUAACACAUGCAAGUCGAGCGGGGUGAUGGUGCUUGCACUAUCACUUAGCGGCGGACGGGUGAGUAAUGCUUAGGAAUCUGCCUAUUAGUGGGGGACAACAUCUCGAAAGGGAUGCUAAUACCGCAUACGUCCUACGGGAGAAAGCAGGGGAUCACUUGUGACCUUGCGCUAACAGAUGAGCCUAAGUCGGAUUAGCUAGUUGGUGGGGUAAAGGCCUACCAAGGCGACGAUCUGUAGCGGGUCUGAGAGGAUGAUCCGCCACACUGGGACUGAGACACGGCCCAGACUCCUACGGGAGGCAGCAGUGGGGAAUUUUGGACAAUGGGGGCAACCCUGAUCCAGCCAUGCCGCGUGAGUGAAGAAGGCCUUCGGGUUGUAAAGCUCUUUCGGCCGGGAAAAAAUCGCAUGGGUUAAUACCCUGUGUGGAUGAUGGUACCGGAAUAAGAAGCACCGGCUAACUACGUGCCAGCCGCCGCGGUAA